CCUCCCUCUCCCUCGCCGACCACCAACAAUCUCCAGCCGCUCGCAGCUCCUCACCGGGGCAUCGGGACCCCUCCUCCGUACAUGCCCGAACCACCUCAGACUCGCUUCCCGCAUCUUCUCGUCCACCGGGGCCACCCCUACCUUCUGACGAGUAACUUUAUUCUUAAUCUUAUCCAGCCUGGUGUGCCCACACAUCGACCUAAGCAUUCUCAUCUCCGCAACCUUCAUUCUCUGAACAUGAGAGUUCUUCACGGGCCAGCN
rnacentral:lncRNA from 1 species